rnacentral:lncRNA from 1 species
GAGCACGUUUCGGUUUAUGCUGAAAAACAGGUCCUGUUUGCAAAACUCCGAUUCAGCAGGAUUCCCUGUGGUCGUGUGGACCAAGGCUACAGAAACUGAGAUGCUCCAGAACAAGAAAAGGCAAAGAUAACUUGGUCUUUCAUGCCUGAAACGAGGAGGAGGAGACCAGCUCCUGCAAACACUGGCCUUCAGCACUUCUCCCUUGCCCCUCCUGAGGCAGCUAAAAGAUAUUUCCUG